rnacentral:rRNA from 1 species
UGGGGAAUAUUGGACAAUGGGCGAAAGCCUGAUCCAGCCAUGCCGCUUGUGUGAAGAAUGUCUUCGGUUUGUAAAGCACUUUAAGUUGGGAGGAAGGGCAGUAAGCGAAUACCUUGCUGUUUUGACGUUACCGACAGAAUAAGCACCGGCUAACUCUGUGCCAGCAGCCGCGGUAAUACAGAGGGUGCAAGCGUUAAUCGGAAUUACUGGGCGUAAAGCGCGCGUAGGUGGUUCGUUAAGUUGAAUGUGAAAGCCCCGGGCUCAACCUGGGAACUGCAUCCAAAACUGGCGAGCUAGAGUAGGGCAGAGGGUGGUGGAAUUUCCUGUGUAGCGGUGAAAUGCGUAGAUAUAGGAAGGAACACAAGUGGCGAAGGCGACCACCUGGGCUCAUACUGACACUGAGGUGCGAAAGCGUGGGGAGCAAACAGG